UACGUAGGGUGCGAGCGUUGUCCGGAAUUAUUGGGCGUAAAGAGCUCGUAGGCGGUGUGUCACGUCGGCCGUGAAAACCUGGGGCUUAACUCUGGGCGUGCGGUCGAUACGGGCAUCACUAGAGUUCGGCAGGGGAGACUGGAAUUCCUGGUGUAGCGGUGAAAUGCGCAGAUAUCAGGAGGAACACCGGUGGCGAAGGCGGGUCUCUGGGCCGAUACUGCGUGAGGAGCGAAAGCAUGGGUAGCGAACAGG
rnacentral:rRNA from 1 species